rnacentral:rRNA from 1 species
AUUGAACGCUGGCGGCAUGCUUUACACAUGCAAGUCGAACGGCAGCGCGGGCUUCGGCCUGGCGGCGAGUGGCGAACGGGUGAGUAAUGCAUCGGAACGUGCCCAGUAGUGGGGGAUAGCCCGGCGAAAGCCGGAUUAAUACCGCAUACGACCUGAGGGUGAAAGCGGGGGACCGAAAGGCCUCGUGCUAUUGGAGCGGCCGAUGUCGGAUUAGCUAGUUGGUGGGGUAAAGGCUUACCAAGGCGACGAUCCGUAGCUGGUCUGAGAGGACGACCAGCCACACUGGGACUGAGACACGGCCCAGACUCCUACGGGAGGCAGCAGUGGGGAAUUUUGGACAAAGGGGGCAACCCUGAUCCAGCCAUGCCGCGUGCGGGAAGAAGGCCUUCGGGUUGUAAACCGCUUUUGUUCGGGAAGAAAUCCUCUGGGCUAAUACCCCGGGGGGAUGACGGUACCGGAAGAAUAAGCACCGGCUAACUACGUG